AUGCCCGGUGGAGACAUAUACCUGCCUUUUAAGUUUGGGUGCCUCACCUUCACUCAUGAUCUGUGGCAAGUCCGUCGGCCAUCUGCCCGUACAAUCAAGCCAGAGAUACCAGAAAAUUAUGAUGGAAGAUUGAACCCGGCAGAGUUCCUGAGCGUCUACACCAUCGUUGUUCAAGCCGCCAGAGGAAGAUAUGAGAAGGUAUUCGCCAACUACUUCACUUUGGCACUCAAGCCAAACGUGAGGUCAUGGCUGAUGCACCUGCCUGAGAACUCCAUCUCGACCUGGGCUGACCUGCGCCAUGAAUUUGCUAGCACCUUCGCGGGCGGCCAUCAAGAACCAGGGUGGCCCAGCGACUUACAUAUCUCCAACAGAAGGAAGGAGAUAGUUUGCGGAAGUACAUGUAGAGGUUCAACAGGGUGCACAUGA
rnacentral:rRNA from 1 species